UAGAAUACGAUGACGAGGAAAGUAGGAUUAUCGGCCCGCUUCAGUGAAUUCCGUUAAGUGUGAAGGAAUAGCCGCUCAUAAUUUGAAAAUCACCUCUGAGUAACCGAUUCGAGUUUAAGAGAAUCGGUGGCGGGCACACCUUAUUGUGCUAGCGGAUCGUCAGUUGACCGUCCGCGAAAAGUGGUAGCUUUUUUGAGCUACAAAUUAGGUGGUACCGCGCAAACAGCGUCCUUGAG
rnacentral:ncRNA from 1 species